rnacentral:rRNA from 1 species
GUCUACGACCAUGCUACCCUGAACAAGCCCAAUCUCAUCUGAUCUCGGAAGCCAAGCAGGAUCGGGCUUGGUUAAUACUUGGAUGGGAGACCAUCUAGGAAGACCAAGUGCUAUAGGCG